rnacentral:rRNA from 1 species
AACGAACGCUGGCGGCAUGCCUAACACAUGCAAGUCGAACGAGACCUUCGGGUCUAGUGGCGCACGGGUGCGUAACGCGUGGGAACCUGCCCUUAGGUUCGGAAUAACUCCCCGAAAGGGGUGCUAAUACCGGAUAAUGUCUUCGGACCAAAGAUUUAUCGCCUUUGGAUGGGCCCGCGUUGGAUUAGCUAGUUGGUAGGGUAAAAGCCUACCAAGGCGACGAUCCAUAGCUGGUCUGAGAGGAUGACCAGCCACACUGGGACUGCGACACGGCCCAGACUCCUACGGGAGGCAGCAGUGGGGAAUAUUGGACGAUGGGCGAAAGCCUGAUCCAGCAAUGCCGCGUGAGUGAUGAAGGCCUUAGGGUUGUAAAGCUCUUUUACCCGGGAUGAUAAUGACAGUACCGGGAGAAUAAGCUCCGGCUAACUCCGUG